UCCUAAGUAUGGGCAAAGAAAGUGGAUUCUUGAAAUGGAAUCUACUCCUGGUGAAGAUGUUGUGAA
rnacentral:pre_miRNA from 1 species